rnacentral:rRNA from 1 species
CCUACGGGGGGCAGCAGUCGAGAAUCAUUCACAAUGGGGGAAACCCUGAUGGUGCGAGGCCGCGUGGGGGAAUGAAGGUCUUCGGAUUGUAAACCCCUGUCAUGUGGGAGCAAAUUAAAAAGAUAGUACCACAAGAGGAAGAGACGGCUAACUCUGUGCCAGCAGCCGCGGUAAUACAGAGGUCUCAAGCGUUGUUCGGAAUCACUGGGCGUAAAGCGGGCGUAGGCUGUUUCGUAAGUCGUGUGUGAAAGGCGCGGGCUCAACCCGCGGACGGCACAUGAUACUGCGAGACUAGAGUAAGGGAGGGGGAACCGGAAUUCUCGGUGUAGCAGUGAAAUGCGUAGAUAUCGAGAGGAACACUCGUGGCGAAGGCGGGUUCCUGGACAUUAACUGACGCUGAGGCACGAAGGCCAGGGGAGCAAACAGGAUUAGAUACCCUUGUAGUC